AGUGGAGGAAUGUCAAUGGAGGUUUGCUCUGCCCUCACAGUCCAGUCAGAAGAAUGUUUGGCAACAGGGGAGUACUGGGCUGAAGAAGGCGAGCAGCUGCCCGCGGGAGGAGUCCACGGACGCGGCGCAGCUUGGCGAGGAGAGGACAACAGGUGCUCCCCUGCGAGGUGACGUCUCUUUUCUGGGUUCGUCCUGUCACGUUCGGCGCGCAUCGUGUGCGCGUGUUGCGUCACCCCCGGGAUGCAAGAGGACCAGACAGGCAGGAGUAACAGUGAGCGGCCGGGUGCAAGGAGAGUUAUUGAGACCGGAGAGACGGAAGCAGAGACACACUUGGUGAUGAGAAACCAGAGCGACUGAAAAGCUGAGACAUUUUUGCUGUGUGACAAAUGAAAGAUUAAAUCUCCUGUCAAACCCGAACAA